UNGUUAUACAGUUAAGUGCUUAAAUGGAA
rnacentral:piRNA from 1 species